UACAGAGGGUGCGAGCGUUAAUCGGAGUUACUGGGCGUAAAGGGCGCGUAGGCGGAUAUAUGAGUGUGAUGUGAAAGCCCCGGGCUUAACCUGGGAAGUGCAUCGCAAACGAUAUAUCUGGAGUAGAUGAGAGGGUGGCGGAAUUUCCGGUGUAGCGGUGAAAUGCGUAGAGAUCGGAAGGAACGUCGAUGGCGAAGGCAGCCACCUGGCAUCAUACUGACGCUGAGGCGCGAAAGCGUGGGGAGCGAACAGG
rnacentral:rRNA from 2 species